CUGACACGGAAUGCAAUUGCUUUGCUGGGGAACCUGACCUACCAUGUCCUGGGAGCAUCUGUCAUUGAACACUCCUGGGAUCUGGGUGGCCAGCAAGGGCAACAUUGAAAUCAAGUGAAAUUGUUGACUGCCACUGCAGGGAGAGGAUGAAUAAGAUUACAGCAAGGAAUGAGGAGGCUUGGAACUUUACAUGUCGGUAUAAAUGUGCUUGGAUGGGAUACUCUGCCACAAAGACUGCUUAUGAAUUGUUCAAUGAAUUAACUGAGACACUUUGAAGUGAAUCUAUUUUAAACAAAAGUGAAAUCAAAUGUGGAAAACAUUUCAAUCAGAUUUAAUCGGACUAAUGUUUUUAAUUGCAGCUUUAAAAAAAAACCUGAUGUAAUGUUUCAUAAUCAGACAAGAACUAAUAGAUCUGACAUAUUUGGGUAUCUAGUAAUUUACCCCUUGGUACCAUUAACCAUUUGAGUGUACAAUCAAUUGCUACUCUGUAAAUCUGCUACUCCAAAAUCCUGCCCCAAUUGAAAGGAAGCAUUUAAUGGUGCAAACUACUUUUUCCCCAUUA